rnacentral:lncRNA from 1 species
UAGCACAUGUUUAGAGAUUAACAUUUUAAUAGUGAAUUAAUUCAAUAAAGUAUCACAUACAUGUUUAGUUGUUCAAAAAAUUGACGAACUCCUGAAGAUGCUCCGAAAGGAGCGAAACCGGUAGAGUGAUAAUAAACACAUUUCACCUUUAA